rnacentral:hammerhead_ribozyme from 1 species
AGGAUAACAGUCGAAACUCCCUUGACCGGGAGUCUACCGGGCUUGCUCUCCCGGUACUGAUGAGACAGAGCAACA